UUAGGUGGGCGCGAAACAUUUUCUUUUUCCUAGGGGGGGCCUGGCAAAAAAUAAUUGAGAAGCAACUUGAAGAACUGUUUGGGAGCUGAAAGAGAGGGGUCAUUUUAGGGAGUGGAUAAAAAAAGCCAGUUGUCUAUAAAAAGCUGAAUUUUUCAUCAAUACAUAACAUCAUCAUUUAGUCUGGCCUUCCAUUGGCCAGAAGGCCACCCGUCAAAAUUGCAGUCGUGGGAGUUUUAAAGCUUGCAGACUUCUGGGAGACCUGAUGGUUCACUAAAGAUUCACACUCCACAGCAGUAGGGGGCAGUAGCGGACGUUUGCGCUGGUUGGUACGCACGUGUACGCCUCAUCUGAUCUGAUCAAGAACUUUCGGCUAACGAUCCUCGAGCGGAAUAAUUUCUUCUGCAGCCAGAUUCUCUAGCGGAAAGGAAUUAAUGCAAAACGUAUCACCUGACUGUGGACCAGGUAAGAACCAUCAUUUUAAGUAAUGUGUGUUUCUUUUCACUUUCGCGUACUUUCGCCGCCUCUCUUUCGAACUAGCUCGUCCGCUUUUCAUUGCGCUCGACCGCCGGCUUACAUCUUUGCAUUGACUUUCGUUUUGUGGUGUGAAUUGCUUGGUUUAAUGUCGUAUCACCUGACUGUGGACCAGGAGAUGGCAGCACAGAGGCCACAGAGGGCUAGAAGAAAUCCCAGACAAGAUGCUUUGUAUUAUUGCUCCUUGGGUGAAGAUAAGGAAGGAUUUGAUAUUAGAUACAUUGAUUCAUUUAAAGGUCGAGGUGUGUUCAGCUCCCGGCCCUUUCAAAAGGGAGAUUUCCUUCUUGAAUACAGAGGACAGCUCAUAUCAAAAAAGGAACAAGAAAGCAGACUGAAAGUUUACCAUGACGCCCUGAAGGUUUUUAUGUUUGAUUUCCAGUUCAAUGGAAAGUUGUUAUGGUAUGUAUCUUCUUUUUUAAUGGUAAUGUCAUCUCUACUCUCUUACUGGUAAAAAGUAGUUUUAGUGAUGAAAUACAGUCUAAGACAAGGUUAAACAUUUGUAAUGUUCCAUGGAAGUUUUAGGUUGUAGCAGGAAUGUUAUUUCGUCUUAAAUACUCAAUGUGCUCAAUAACUUCCCUAUGUAGCAUAACUUAUUGUCUGCUUCA